GGUUGGAUGGCCGAGUGGUCUAAGGCGCUAGAAUCAGGUCAUUGUCUCAUAUCUAGUCCUCCGGGGCGUGGGUUCGAAUCCCACUCCAAUCA